rnacentral:rRNA from 1 species
ACUCCUACGGGAGGCAGCAGUGGGGAAUAUUGCACAAUGGGCGCAAGCCUGAUGCAGCCAUGCCGCGUGUGUGAAGAAGGCCUUCGGGUUGUAAAGCACUUUCAGUCGUGAGGAAGGUGGGUGUUGUUAANGCAGCAUCAUUUGACGUUAGCGACAGAAGAAGCACCGGCUAACUCCGUGCCAGCAGCCGCGGUAAUACGGAGGGUGCGAGCGUUAAUCGGAAUUACUGGGCGUAAAGCGCAUGCAGGCGGCCCUGUUAAGUCAGAUGUGAAAGCCCGGGGCUUAACCUCGGAAUUGCAUUUGAAACUGGC